GUAAUGCCGGAUGCUCCGACUCCUCGCAUGGGGUGUCGGGAAAGAUUUCAUCGGUAUGGGAUGGGGUCGCGUCCUAUCAGGUAGUCGGCGGGGUAACGGCCCACCGAGCCUACGACGGGUAGCCGGCCUGAGAGGGCGACCGGCCACAUUGGGACUGAGAUACGGCCCAGACUCCUACGGGAGGCAGCAGUGGGGAAUAUUGCACAAUGGGCGCAAGCCUGAUGCAGCGACGCCGCGUGCGGGAUGACGGCCUUCGGGUUGUAAACCGCUUUUGAUCGGGAGCAAGCCUUCGGGUGAGUGUACCUUUCGAAUAAGCACCGGCUAACUACGUGCCAGCAGCCGCGGUAAUACGUAGGGUGCAAGCGUUAUCCGGAAUUAUUGGGCGUAAAGGGCUCGUAGGCGGUUCGUCGCGUCCGGUGUGAAAGUCCAUCGCUUAACGGUGGAUCUGCGCCGGGUACGGGCGGGCUGGAGUGCGGUAGGGGAGACUGGAAUUCCCGGUGUAACGGUGGAAUGUGUA
rnacentral:rRNA from 1 species